rnacentral:rRNA from 1 species
CUACGGGCCGCAGCAGUGAGGAAUAUUGCACAAUGGGGGGAACCCUGAUGCAGCAACGCCGCGUGGAGGAUGACGCAUUUCGGUGUGUAAACUCCUUUUAUAUGUCAAGAAAAUGACGGUAGCAUAUGAAUAAGCACCGGCUAACUCCGUGCCAGCAGCCGCGGUAAUACGGAGGGUGCAAGCGUUACUCGGAAUCACUGGGCGUAAAGGACGCGUAGGCGGGUUGGAAAGUCAGGUGUGAAAUCCUACAGCUUAACUGUAGAACUGCACUUGAAACUUCUAAUCUAGAGUAUGGGAGGGGGGGAUGGAAUUAGUGGUGUAGGGGUAAAAUCCGUAGAUAUCACUAGGAAUACCUAAAGCGAAGGCGAUCUCCUGGAACAUAACUGACGCUAAGGCGUGAAAGCGUGGGGAGCAAACAGGAUUAGAUACCCGAGUAGUC